UGACGCAGGGUGUAGCUCAGUGGUAGAGCUUUCGACUGCUGAUCGAAAGGUCCCCGUUUCAAACCCGGGUGUUUCAU